rnacentral:rRNA from 1 species
GACGGGGGAUCCUAGCGUUGUUCGGAAUCAUUGGGCGUAAAGCGGGUGCAGGUGGCUAUGUAAGUCAGGUGUGAAAGCCUGGGGCUCAACCCCAGAAGUGCAUUUGAUACUGCGUAGCUUGAGUGCUAGAGAGGAUAGUAGAAUUCUUGGUGUAGUGGUGAAAUACGUAGAUAUCAAGAGGAAUACCGGUGGCGAAGGCGGCUAUCUGGCUAGACGCUGACACUCAGACCCGAAAGUGCGGGGAUCAAACAGG